AAACACCUGAGUCACGGUGACGAUGCGCUACGUCAUCAUUAAGGUUGUUGAAGUCCAUCUAUGUGCGAAGACAAAACACUUUUUUACACCUGAAAAAUACCUGAAUACCACCUGUAACCAGACAGAGGUGAUUCUACCUUACAGGAAUCAUUCAGGCGAUCCAAAGAACCAGCACCGGUUCAGUUAGAUGGAACAGAACCACGGAUUCAGAAUCUGGCUCAGGGUUCUGUGGAGGAUCCAGAAGCUUCUGGUCUGCUGUUUGUUUCUCAUUGUCAAUAAAGUUUCAUCUCCCAAAGCAGGAAGUGGGUGAGGCGAUGAGUCAGGGUCACGGGAUGAAAGCUGCUGAUGGAUCAUGACUCGGCAGGAAAACUGAAGACCCAGAUGUGAUCCGGAAGAAGUUUUCCGUUCUGCUCCUUCCAGGUCAUCGACCUUCAGCUGACCAGCAAAAACCAAGACAGACAAGUUACAAGUUUUUAUUUUGCUUUAAAAGAUAAACUGGAUUAGAUCCUAAAAAAACGUCCAUUUUGAUUUCUGUGCCGACAGUAAACAGUUAGGAUUUACCUCCUGAGUGGGUUUAGAACUGAUGAUAAAGUUAUGUUGAAUGCAGACAGAAAUGAUAAUUAGCAUUUUUAUUACAGUUGCAGAUUUUCAUAUAAAUGAUUAAACAACAGAACCCUGAGGAACUCCUUCAGAAGUGAUUUCUCCCCGACACGUAGAACUUCCAGAGUCUCCAGAACCUUUUUCAGAUCCAGAACAGUUAUUCCCAUCGGACCGGUUCUGUUGUGACGAGGUAACUGCAGAUUUAUGGACCUGAUCGGUUCUGGUGCUCCCAGGGUCCAAACAGCAAGUAAAAAUAAACUUAGGAGGAAAUUAAAUAAUUUGAGAACAGAUUUUAUUUAAAAAGGUGAAAGAUAAAAGUUUAAAUUACAGAUG